rnacentral:rRNA from 1 species
CCAAUAGCGUAUAUUAAAGUUGUUGCAGUUAAAAAGCUCGUAGUUGAAUUUCGGGAUCAAGGGAUCGGUCAUGCCUUGGUAUGUACUGGUCUUAUUGGUUCUCACCUUCUAAAGAACCAUGAUGUCAUUCAUUUGAUGUUAUGGGGAAUUAGGACUGUUACCUUGAAAAAAUUAGAGUGUUUAAAGCAAGCUUACGCUUGAAUACAUUAGCAUGGAAUAAUGAAAUAGGACAUCAGAUUCUAUUUUGUUGGUUUCUAGGAUCGAUGUAAUGAUUAAUAGGGAUAGUUGGGGGCAUUAGUAUUCAAUUGUCAGAGGUGAAAUUCUUGGAUUUAUUGAAGACUAACUACUGCGAAAGCAUUUGCCAAGGAUGUUUUCAUUAAUCAAGAACGAAAGUUAGGGGAUCGAAGACGAUCAGAUACCGUCGUAGUCUUAACCAUAAACUAUGCCGACUAGGGAUCGGAUGAUGUUAAUUUCUUAAUGACUCAUUCGGCACCUUACG